CUUAGAGAUAGAGAUACAUUUUAAAGCAGAUACACCAUGUUGUUUGUUUUGAUGACGAGUUGGAUAUAGAAUGGAAUUAAGAGCUUUCGUGCUAUGGUGUUUGGUUGAUGGGGAUGAUAUUCAGUAGACCUGGAGAUUGUUUUCACCGCAAAGUGAUUUUUAUUAACAGAUUAAAUGACAAGUGACCAAUAAAUGGAAAAACAUCUAAUAUGAUUGUAGUGGGACACCGCCUCUAAG